rnacentral:rRNA from 1 species
GGAAUCUUGCACAAUGGAGGAAACUCUGAUGCAGCGAUGCCGCGUGAGUGAAGAAGGCCUUUGGGUUGUAAAGCUCUUUUGUAGGGGAAGAUAAUGACUGUACCCUAAGAAUAAGGUCCGGCUAACUUCGUGCCAGCAGCCGCGGUAAUACGAAGGGACCUAGCGUAGUUCGGAAUUACUGGGCGUAAAGCGCGCGUAGGCCGUUGAGUUAGUUAAUUGUGAAAUCCCAAAGCUUAACUUUGGAACUGCAAUUAAAACUGCUCGACUAGAGUUUGAUAGAGGAAAGCGGAAUACAUAGUGUAGAGGUGAAAUUCGUAGAUAUUAUGUAGAACACCAGUUGCGAAAGCGGCUUUCUGGAUCAACACUGACGCUGAGGCGCGAAAGUAUGGGUAGCAAAGAGGAUUAGAUACCCUCGUAGUCCAUACCAUAAACGAUGAUUGCUAGAUGUUGGAAAUUUAUUUUCAGUAUCGCAGCUAACGCAUUAAGCAAUCCGCCUGGGGAGUACGACCGCAAGGUUAAAACUCAAAUGAAUUGACGG